rnacentral:rRNA from 1 species
AUCGGCGACGAGUUUGAUCAUGGCUACAGGACGAACGGCUGGCGGCGUGCUUAACACAUGCAAGUCGAACGAUGAAGUUCGGACGGAGGCUUCGGCCAACUGAAGAACGGAUUAGUGGCGGACGGGUGAGUAACGCGUGAGUAACCUGCCUUUCAGAGGGGAAUAACAUUUGGAAACGAAUGGUAAUACCGCAUAAUGUCACGGAACCGCAUGGUUCUGUGACCAAAGGAGCAAUCCGCUGAAAGAUGGACUCGCGUCCGAUUAGCUAGUUGGAGAGGUAACGGCUCCCCAAGGCGACGAUCGGUAGCCGGACUGAGAGGUUGAACGGCCACAUUGGGACUGAGACACGGCCCAGACUCCUACGGGAGGCAGCAGUGGGGGAUAUUGCGCAAUGGGGGCAACCCUGACGCAGCAACGCCGCGUGAAUGAAGAAGGUUUCCGGAUCGUAAAGUUCUUUAAGUGUGGAAGAAGAUGACGGUACACACAGAAUAAGCCACGGCUAACUACGUG